UUACGGCCACAUUACGUUGAAAGACCGGUCCCCGUACAAUCACCGAAGUUAAACAACGUCGAGUCUGGUCAGUACCUACAUGGGUGCACGCUUGGGAAUACCGGUUGCUGUAA